GUUUUAUGAAUUUUGAUUUCUUUUUUAUGGUUCUAUAUCUAUUUUCUCAAACGGUAAAAGAUGGACUUUAUUGAUAGAUAUAGAAUAAACACAAACUCAACCUUAGCUACUAGGAAACAAACCAAAAUUACACCAAGUAUACAACCUAGGCAGUGGAACAUAGAGAAACAAAACUAAUAAAGAUCCCAAAACUGGUUCAAAUGAA
rnacentral:lncRNA from 1 species